GCGCCGCAACAUGACCUUCUUUGGGGUUAAAAGCGCCCUGCUAGCGGGUGAAAAAGCGGUGCUUAAACAGCGCUAAAGCGCCACUACAACAAGCGGAGCUUUACCACGAACGCACGGGCGGCCCCAGUGUGAAAGGGGUUCAAGGAUACUUGGGGCUGAGAUGUGAAAGAUGAGGAGCUGACACUUCUUUUAUCUUCACAAAUGUGCUGACUGAGGGGGGGGAGGGACCUCGGAUACAUCCAGCCUGAGCGUAAUCACCCCCCCCAUGCGUGUAAUGGGAGAUCUGCAAAUCUCCCCUAUGCGCAGGUUAGUCCCGUAGGGUCCUUAUAAUGUCAUCUGCAUGUGUAGUGUCCGGAGGGAGACUCCCAGGCUGGGUAUCCCCCCCCCCCCCCCCCCC